rnacentral:rRNA from 1 species
ACAGAGGGUGCGAGCGUUAAUCGGAAUUACUGGGCGUAAAGCGCGCGUAGGCGGCUUUGCAAGUCGGGUGUGAAAUCCCCAGGCUUAACCUGGGAACUGCAUUCGAGACUGCAUUGCUAGAGUAUGGGAGAGGGAAGUGGAAUUUCCGGUGUAGCGGUGAAAUGCGUAGAUAUCGGGAGGAACAUCAGUGGCGAAGGCGGCCUUCUGGUCCAGUACUGACACUCAAGUGCGAAAGCGUGGGGAGCAAACAGGA